rnacentral:rRNA from 1 species
UGGUGGAGUGAUGUGUCUGGUUAAUUCCGUCAACGAACGAGAGCUCGACCCGCUAAAUAGUUCAGCGAACCCAUCCGGAUUCGUCUGCGACUUCUUAGAGGGACUAGCGGUGUGUAGCCGAUGGAAGUUCGAGGAAUAACA